rfam:Reticulomyxa filosa contig86525_1.exp, whole genome shotgun sequence.
AACCAGGUGUUUUUUAACACCACCAAAUUAUUUUGUUUUCUUAUUU